UGUCCCCUAGCUCAGUUGGUUAGAGCGUCCGACUGUUAGAUCGUCUGAUCAGCAAUCGGGAGGUCGAGAGUUCAACCCUCUCGGGGACAG